rnacentral:sRNA from 1 species
ACCCCCUACUUACCUGAUAUUGAUUUCC